AGAUCACUGGAAAAGAAAAUAACAGUAUCCUGAAACUUGGAAAACCAAAGAGUAAGCUAAUAUCUCACUGAUAAUUACACCAUCCAAUCAACUCUACCAGCAAUCAAAACAAGGAAAACUUGUUAACCUGUACCCAGUGGAAUUUGAUCUUUGACAGGUAGGAAGGUAAAAUAUAUUCAAGGUAGUUCAACAAAGCUAUACAUUUUAUUACUUGCAAAAUUGCUAAUAUUAUCACUAUUCAUUGGCUCUGUUACAUACAAGCAGCAUGAGUCAUGAAAUAAAAUUUAUUAGUUUUUGUGACCUACCAUUUCAUGGAGGUAAAUCACCUUGGACAUGAGAGUAAAGAAAAAUUAACAUACCCUUCGUACCCUCGAAAAAAUAUUUCAAUAAAAAUACCCAUUAGCCCGAUUACUCUUCUAACACUCUUCUGCUUGAAAUUGAAGAUGUUCUAUUUAUUAUUGGACAACCAUAGCGCAUGUGUCGUGUCAAAAGUCAAAAUGAUGGCGUCGACGUUGACAGACAGUGCGUUCGGUAUUUACAAAUCGGCACUAGCAUCUGUAGACAGCAAGCGAAUCUUUCAGGAAAUUUCCACAUAAUGCUUGCUGAUGGAUAAUGCAGUGGUAACAGAGAAAUUGUGGAAAAGUUUCAUCUUUACGACAUAACGCCACCAGACCCGUAUCACAACCCACCAUAGCUGGAGCGCCAUCGGUUAUCAAGCCUACCAUUUUCGAUAUUGGAAUUUUCUCGGAAGAAAUAAUAUUUUUUAAAUGAGAAAACAACUCAUGUCCAGUAGUGUGUCCUUUCAGUGGAAUGAACUUCAAAAGAUCUUCUUUAAUCGUAAAAUCACUAAAAACCAUUCUGACGAACACGGCCAUCUGGGCAGUGUCAACGACAUCUGUUGAUUCAUCCAGUUGAAGUGAAAAAUAAACACAGUUAUCUAAGUCAGUUCUUAAACUGUAAAAAAAUAUCAUUGCUCAUUACUUCUACACGUCUCAUCACUGUAUUAGCAGAAAGUUGCAUAGAUUUUAAAGCUGAAACUAUUUCGUCUUCAUUUCUAAAGUUGGCAAAUAACGAAUCAGCAGCUUCUAAAAACGGCUGUUUUAUCAUUUCCCUGUCUUCAUAAGGUUUCUUUUUUUUUGCAAUUAUCUGGGGCACACGGUACGAUGCUUCAGUUGCAGCCUUAUUUUUGUCGACUGUUCUUAAAAAUAUUGAUUGUUGUCCAAUUAACUGCUUUUUUAACUGUUUCAGUUUCUCCUUUCUGGCGGCAGAAUG